rnacentral:rRNA from 1 species
GAUGAACGCUGGCGGCGUGCCUAAUACAUGCAAGUCGAGCGAACGGACGAGAAGCUUGCUUCUCUGAUGUUAGCGGCGGACGGGUGAGUAACACGUGGAUAACCUACCUAUAAGACUGGGAUAACUUCGGGAAACCGGAGCUAAUACCGGAUAAUAUUUUGAACCGCAUGGUUCAAAAGUGAAAGACGGUCUUGCUGUCACUUAUAGAUGGAUCCGGGCUGCAUUAGCUAGUUGGUAAGGUAACGGCUUACCAAGGCAACGAUGCAUAGCCGACCUGAGAGGGUGAUCGGCCACACUGGGACUGAGACACGGUCCAGACUCCUACGGGAGGCAGCAGUAGGGAAUCUUCCGCAAUGGGCGAAAGCCUGACGGAGCAACGCCGCGUGAGUGAUGAAGGUCUUCGGAUCGUAAAACUCUGUUAUUAGGGAAGAACAUAUGUGUAAGUAACUGUGCACAUCUUGACGGUACCUAAUCAGAAAGCCACGGCUAACUACGUG